CUUUUGUGUUAUUUGUACAUCGUUUGGGUGAUGUGUCCCCAAGCGCUUCACUUCCAACUGCGCUGUGAUUGGUCGAAGGUCAGCCUUUGGGCUGAAUGAAUUUACCCCGAAUGGACAGCAUAUGAAGGGGGCGUGUCAGGA